UAGCCGUAAACGAUACUCGCUAGGUGUCGGCCACGGUGCGACCGUUGUCGGUGCCGUAGGGAAGCCGUGAAGCGAGCCACCUGGGAAGUACGGCCGCAAGGCUGAAACUUAAAGGAAUUGGCGGGGGAGCACCGCAACGGGAGGAGCGUGCGGUUCAAUUGGAUUCAACGCCGAAAAACUCACCAGGAGCGACGGAUAUAUGAAGGUCAAGCUGAUGACUUUACCUGAUUUUCCGAGAGGAGGUGCAUGGCGUAGUCGUGU
rnacentral:rRNA from 1 species